UACAGAGGGUGCGAGCGUUAAUCGGAAUUACUGGGCGUAAAGCGCGCGUAGGCGGCUUUGCAAGCCGGAUGUGAAAUCCCCGGGCUUAACCUGGGAACUGCAUUCGGGACUGCAUUGCUAGAGUAUGGGAGAGGGAAGUGGAAUUUCAGGUGUAGCGGUGGAAAUGCGUAGAUAUCUGAAGGAACAUCAGUGGCGAAAGCGACUUCCUGGACCAAUACUGACGCUCAUGUGCGAAAAGCGUGGGGAGCAAACAGGG
rnacentral:rRNA from 1 species